rnacentral:rRNA from 1 species
UACGAAGGGGGCUAGCGUUGUUCGGAUUUACUGGGCGUAAAGCGCACGUAGGCGGCUUCUUAAGUCAGGGGUGAAAUCCUGGAGCUCAACUCCAGAACUGCCUUUGAUACUGAGAAGCUUGAGUCCGGGAGAGGUGAGUGGAACUGCGAGUGUAGAGGUGAAAUUCGUAGAUAUUCGCAAGAACACCAGUGGCGAAGGCGGCUCACUGGUCCGGUACUGACGCUGAGGUGCGAAAGCGUGGGAGCAGCAG